CGGAUUUCCUGGUACUGGAGUUUCCUUUAAAUAAACAUCACACACAGCCAAUAAAUCCAGCCAAUAAAUCCAGCACAAAUAUCACAUACAACAAAUACACGCAUAUCACACACUGUUAAUACACCCAUUACAAAUAUCACCCACAUUUAACACAUAUCAUACAUAUCACACAGUCAUCACAUCUAUCGCAUACACAGACAACACAAACAUUAUAUCAUACAUGGAUGACGUAGGGGGGGCACUGUGAAGAUUUUUCGCACAGGGCGCCUGAAGGCCAGCCCUGAGCGCAACUGUACAAGAUGAAAUGGAGCCCAUGAAUAUAAAGUACUUGCAUGUUGUAAACUCGUUACAUGACCAGUUUGGCGAAAUAUUUCAUCAAUAUAGAAGCCAGGAACAGA